rnacentral:rRNA from 1 species
ACUGGGUAUCAGACCCCAUGCACACCAGAUCUCAUCUAAUUUCAGAAGCUAAACAGGAUUGGGCCAGGUUAGCGCUUAGAUAGGAGAUCACCAGUG